UACGGAGGGUGCAAACGUUGCUCGGAAUCAUUGGGCGUAAAGCGCACGUAGGCGGACUGUUAAGUCGGAUGUGAAAGCCCUCGGCUUAACCGAGGAAGUGCAUUCGAAACUGGCAGUCUUGAGUACAGAAGAGGGUCGCGGAAUUCCCGGUGUAGAGGUGAAAUUCGUAGAUAUCGGGAGGAACACCAGUGGCGAAGGCGGCGACCUGGGCUGAUACUGACGCUGAGGUGCGAAAGCGUGGGAGCAAACAGG
rnacentral:rRNA from 1 species